GAUAUAGCUCAGUGGUAGAGAGUUUGCCUAGCAUGCACAAGGACCUGGGUUCAAUGCCCAGAACA
rnacentral:tRNA from 1 species